rnacentral:rRNA from 1 species
AAUGAACGUUGGCGGCGUGGAUUAGGCAUGCAAGUCGAGCGAGAACCGUAGCAAUACGGGGACAGCGGCGAAAGGGAGAGUAAUACGUGGAUACCUACCCCCAGGUUCGGGAUAGCUGCGGGAAACUGCUGGUAAUACCGAAUAACAUCUCCGGAUCAAAGGUGUGAUUCCGCCCGGGGAGGGGUCCGCGUCCUAUUAGCUAGUUGGCGAGGUAACGGCUCACCAAGGCUGUGAUGGGUACGGGGUGUGAGAGCAUGCCCCCG